rfam:Oryza glaberrima chromosome 5 Oglab05_0104_18, whole genome shotgun sequence.
AAAAAGAUAAACCCUAGUUUUUCGUGCCAACGUUUGACUGUCCGUCUUAUAUGAAAUUUUUUUAUAAUUAGUAUUUUCAUUGUUGUUAGAUGAUAAAACAUGAUUAAUACUUUAUGCAUGAUUUAUCUUUUUAAUUUUUUUCAUAAUGUUUUUAAAUAAGACGGACGGUCAAACGUUGGACACGGAAAUUAGGGUUUGUCUUUUU